GAGAGAUUGGUUGAUGCUAGGAACUGCUAAUCCCUAAGCCCCAUGGUUCAAAUCCAUGGCUCACUUA
rnacentral:tRNA from 1 species